CUUUACUUUGAUAAUGAGACUGAAGAGUUGGGACUUCCGUUUCCAUUUUAUCUCCUCACUGUUACAAUCCAGAUUUUUCUUUUUCAGGGAACACAUUCUAAUUCUACUCUGUGUCUACUGUACAUGUAGUAGAAACUAUAAACCUUUUCUCUCUCGCUAAAGAUAGAUAUGUAGUUACAAAACUUAUGGACUUUUACAAGUCCUAAUGUUGUUUGUAGUGGGUAAUACAAUAAAUACAAGGAUAAAGAAGAAAAGAAUUGACUGCAACAACAGGGACUCACCUUUGCUCGAUUUCCAGGAUAAGUCCAGAGCUCUAAGAAGGCAAUGAAAUGUUAUUAAUUGUAGACUUCUUUCAGCAUUUUCUCGCAAUUCUUGCCAAAGGAUUUUGGAAGAGCAUCUCAUACUGUCUAAGUAGGAGACAAGGAUGUCACCAAAUCCUAAUCAAUUGGAAUUGCUAUCGUACCGGACUAUUAUAUAUGACCAACGAUUGCUCCAGUCCAUUUUGGAUCCCAUAACACACGUCGUUUCAAUGUCUUCAAGCUCAUCUACUCGUGGAAAUCCUCAUAAGGCGAAGAUUCACUAGAUGAAUCACUUUCAAAUGGGGUGGUCUCUCUUGGUGACGAAGGAAGUGAUUCUCUUUGUUGAGAAGAUAAACCUUUUGGUGCUCUUGAACGGAACUUCUUUGUAUGCCGUCUAAUCAGCUUCUUGGCUUUUGUUAUGGUUAGUUGUCUAGCAAAUGGAGAGAAAUCUCCCUCACUUUCACUCCAAUCACCAGUAAUCUCAUUUUCUGCUUCACCCCUCAUUGUUCGAAGCACGAAAGCCUUGGCCUUCCGACGCUGUGAAUUGAAAAGGCCUUUUAUAGAGGUGACAAAACCAUCACCUGCACCCUCAGCGGGACGCUUAGGCCAGGAUAAAGGAUUUUGCUCGGAUUUUCCAGCUGAACCACCAUCACUAUCACUGAGAUUAAGAUCAAUAUCAGGAACGCCAGGAGCACAAGUUUCCUUAUGACUAUGUGCUUUAUCUUUAAACUUCUUUCCCUGCAUUCCUGUCACAGAUUUUAGGACUCCCCAGAUGAUGUGCUUCUUGACUCUUGAGAAUAGCCUCCGCCAGGUUCCCGUAAAUUCAACACGAUGGAAUGUAUCCAUCAGCAAUCUCAAAUCACUCACAGCAAAUCUUAAUCCUUCAUAUGUAACAAGUAACUCAACCUGGCUAAUCUUGAUAUUGUGAAAUUCUCUCAUUCUACGAGGCCUAGAUUUUUUCUCAUCCUGCGCCUUACCCACCUUUUUCUCUUCAUGAGAGGAGCGGCCAGAUUUGAUUAGUUUUGAUUCUUUGGAUCUGUUUCUGUUACCUUCAUCUGGCUGCUCAAUACCAGCAAAUGGCCCACUUGUUGAAGAAGUAGCACUUGAGGAGUGCAUCUGCAGCAUAAGUUCAUCAGCAACAGAUUCAGCUACCUUUUCUUCCAAUAUUCUAUCAAAGGAUGAUGUUCGUCUUAGCUCAGGGGUUGAACCACAAACAAUAUUAGCUUUUAAGUUCUGCAACUUUGACAUUUGGGAGAAAUCAGCAGAAGAGGAUAACUGAUUUGCCGAUGUAACUGGUAAUGCAGAAUUGCUUGAUUUGGUGGAGACCUGAGGAUCUUUUGUUAGAUGGGUACUUGACAUUGGUGCUUCCUGUAUUGAUGCACCUUUCCGUGUACGCCUGGAACCAGCAGUAGUGGAGAACUUCCAAACUUCCUGCCUGCGCUGGGAGUCUUGUUCUUCUUCUGGAAAAAAGUACUCCCACAUCAUUCUAUACAUAGUCUCAGUCAAAUGUAUCUUUAAGGGGUAAAUCUCCACCUGGAAUAGUUCUAGAGGAUAGUUUCCAUCUUUUGGAGCUCCCUGCUUAGCAUCCACGCGAAGCAUCACUUUUUUUCCCCAUUCAGCAGGAGCGUUCCAUGCUGAUAGAAGCAUAUCAGACUUGGCAUUUGGUAAGCAGUUUCUCACAACAAAGUACUUCGUCGUGAACUUAGCAACCCCAACAUCUUUGUAGUCACGGUCAAAAUCAUAUAUCAUGUCAUUUAUCUCAGCUUCAGCAAAUGAUUUACCAUCCACAAGCAUGCUCCAAACCACUUUAUUAAUUUGCAAAGAGAUACGCAUAGCACAAGAAGGACUUUUGUUCUUUUCUUUCUCCAUCAAUCGAAGUUGUGCAGCUUUCUGUAGAGCCAUCCUGAGAGAAGCAGAAGCCGCUUUUCUAGAUUUUUGAGCAUUUACCAGCUCUUUCUUCAGUUUUUGCACCAAUAUGGACCUUCCACCAGUAAUAAUCCAAAGAUCGUCUUCCUUUACCGAGUUCCUAUCGCCAGAUGCAUCAUUAUAAAGAGAUAACUUCCUAAUAUCAUCCUGGAUCAACUUCUGCACUCUUUCUUUCUGCUCUAGAUUCACUCUUGCCAGUUCUACCUCUUCAACACCAUCAGGCACAACUUCGUCAGCCUCCUCUUCAACAUCUUCAUCGUCACCUGCCGGAUACGACAGACUAACUUUUCGAGGCUUUGGAAGCCGGGCAAAUAGAAGAUUGGUCAAGACAUCUAGCAUAACUUGGAACUGGCGAGAUGUCAUUGUUGCUGUUAUGUUAUGUGAAUUGAAUGAAAGCUCCUUCAAAGGUUUCACCUUCAAGUCGGCUGUUCCACCUUUAUGCCUAGUAUAGCGGAAGUACAUAUCACAAGGCAUAAAAACUCUCUCCAGUAAAGCUCCAGUGCGCUUCACUUUUGGUGAGCUUCUUCGAAUUUUAGGAAGCCACUGCAGUCCAGCCCCUGGAUCUACGUCAGUUGGGGCAACAUGUGCCUGUACAUGUUCUAACAUCACAGAGUACUCCAUGCGAUUCCAUGUCAUUUCAGGUUGAGAUUCACGAAUUGGAACAUUUCCUCCACCUAGAGCUUGUUUAAUCACUUCAUAGCCAAUGGAUAGAACUGAAUGGAAUGAACGAGCCAACACACGGCCACUCACAGCCGCCAACAGAAAUCUACCAUUUGCAUCUUCUGAGUGAAGAUUGAAUUGUGGUUCAAUGACAUUGACCAUGAAAUGGCGAGUGCCCUCCCCCUCAUUGUCUUCAAUGUCGG
rnacentral:misc_RNA from 1 species